rnacentral:rRNA from 1 species
UCACGGUCCUAAGGUAGCAAAAUUCCUUGACAGGUAAGUUCCGUCCAGCAUUAGCGGUGGAACGACUUCCUCACUGUCACUAGCUUGGUCUCAAGGAAAAGCC